GAAAUGCGGUAAGUAAUGUGAAUUGCAGAAUUCAGUGAAUCAUCGAAUCUUUGAACGCACAUUGCGCGCCUUGGUAUUCCAUGGGGCAUGCCUGUUCGAGCGUCAUUUGUACCCUCAAGCUUUGCUUGGUGUUGGGCGUCUUGUCCUCUUUGGAGGACUAGCCUUAAAACAAUUGGCAGCCGGCAUAUUGGUAUCGGAGCGCAGCACAAGUCGCACUUCUUUCCAUGAAUGUUGGCACCCAUCAAGACUAUUUUUUCACUCUUGACCUCGGAUCAGGCAGGGAUACCCGCCGAACUUAA
rnacentral:misc_RNA from 1 species